rnacentral:pre_miRNA from 1 species
AGAUUACUCCGUCCGUCCGAAAAUACUUGUCAUCAAAAUGGAUAAAAAAGGAUGUAUCUAGAACUAAUAUACAUCUAGAUACAUCCCCUUUUAUUCAUUUUGAUGACAAGUAUUUCCGGACGGACGGAGGGAGUA